AUCCAUAGGACGAGUCCCAAAUAAGAUGAAACGUGAGUCAUGGAU
rnacentral:hammerhead_ribozyme from 1 species